GCUCAGAUUGAACGCUGGCGGCAGGCCUAACACAUGCAAGUCGAGCGGAUGAAGGGAGCUUGCUCCUGGAUUCAGCGGCGGACGGGUGAGUAAUGCCUAGGAAUCUGCCUGGUAGUGGGGGAUAACGUCCGGAAACGGGCGCUAAUACCGCAUACGUCCUGAGGGAGAAAGUGGGGGAUCUUCGGACCUCACGCUAUCAGAUGAGCCUAGGUCGGAUUAGCUAGUUGGUGGGGUAAAGGCCUACCAAGGCGACGAUCCGUAACUGGUCUGAGAGGAUGAUCAGUCACACUGGAACUGAGACACGGUCCAGACUCCUACGGGAGGCAGCAGUGGGGAAUAUUGGACAAUGGGCGAAAGCCUGAUCCAGCCAUGCCGCGUGUGUGAAGAAGGUCUUCGGAUUGUAAAGCACUUUAAGUUGGGAGGAAGGGCAGUAAGUUAAUACCUUGCUGUUUUGACGUACCAACAGAAUAAGCACCGG
rnacentral:rRNA from 1 species